AAUCAACGCUGGCGGCGUGCCUCAGACAUGCAAGUCGAACGAUUAAAGCUCUCUUCGGAGAGUGUAUAGAGUGGCGCACGGGUGAGUAACACGUAAGUAAUCUACCUUCGAGUGGGGAAUAACGUCCGGAAACGGACGCUAAUACCGCAUAAUGCAGCGGCAUCGCAAGAUGACAGUUGUUAAAGAUUUAUCGCUUGAAGAGGAGCUUGCGGCAGAUUAGCUAGUUGGUAAGGUAACGGCUUACCAAGGCUACGAUCUGUAUCCGGUCUAAGAGGACGGUCGGACACACUGACACUGAAUAACGGGUCAGACUCCUACGGGAGGCAGCAGUCGGGAA
rnacentral:rRNA from 1 species